GGGGCCGAUCGGUUUUGACAGCAGGUGGAAUUGAAAAGUAAGCACGUCGAGCGCUCAUACACAGCUCGUAAAUAUCAUGAAUGAACUUUUUUUUACACGGCGAAGAUAACUACGCUUUAGCUGCUUAAUCCGAAUUAUAGUAAGAUUUGAGCCUUGUCCUAUUAGAUAGGAGAGCUAAAUUCCUUAAAGAAGCCUUGAUUUAUGGCGUUUUAACAAAAGGAAUCGUAAAAGUAAAUCUAGAGUAAAUAGCACCUCGGAAGUUACUCGAAACCUUAAGAGGUUAAGCAUAAAGUGGCUGUUUUUGGCAAAGCUUUAUGACGAAAAUCUAAACAAAAACUAAACGUGUAGAAAGCUCUUUGAUUGCUUGUUUGGACCAGGGUUCGAUUCCCUGCGGCUCCACAG
rnacentral:tmRNA from 1 species